rnacentral:rRNA from 1 species
CGGCCACCUCCCCUGGUGGAGAGUUUGCCUUAAUUAAACUUAACCCGGUUGAAGGAAGGGCACCCGGACAAAGGUAGGAUUGACAGAAAUUGACCUCAUCCCUCCACCAGUGGGGGGGGCUGCAUGCCCGUUCGAAUCAGCUGGAGAGAACUCUCUCGUAACUUACAACGUGGAGAUAGACGGACGUCCAUCUCUUUCGUAGCAUUUUGUAUGGUAUACCCCGAUUCUUAAAGGGACUCGGGGCGACUAGACAGAUGAAAUACAAUAAUGAAUGGCACGCUACGCCCAUAGAUAAGCGGCGUUUACCACCAUGUACUCUGCUACUAACAGGGCGGUGAGGCCCUUAGCCGGACGGACUGGCACACCCACGUCACUGCUAUCAUCUUUGAGAUACGGAACUGCACCCGAACCACUGAGAAAACCAAUUCCCGUCAUGCGCGUGUCAUAUAAGGACUUGGAAUUCUUCCCUGCCCUUUGCGCACUCCGCCUAUCUCUUCGACAUAAUGUCCCAUUUAUUAC